GCCAAAGUUGUGUAGUGAUUUGAGUGUUGGACUAUAACUCUGGAGACCAGGGUUCAAUUCCCAGCUCAGCCA